CUGACAGUCGAGCGAUCUGAGGGAGCUUGCUCCCAAGAUUAGCGGCGGACGGGUGAGUAACACGUGGGCAACCUGCCUGUAAGACUGGGAUAACUCCGGGAAACCGGGGCUAAUACCGGAUAAUAUCUAUUUAUACAUAUAAUUAGAUUGAAAGAUGGUUCUGCUAUCACUUACAGAUGGGCCCGCGGCGCAUUAGCUAGUUGGUGAGGUAACGGCUCACCAAGGCGACAAUGCGUAGCCGACCUGAGAGGGUGAUCGGCCACACUGGGACUGAGACACGGCCCAAACUCCUACGGGAGGCAGCGGUAGGGAAUCUUCCGCAAUGGACGAAAGUCUGACGGAGCAACGCCGCGUGAGUGAUGAAGGUUUUCGGAUCGUAAAACUCUGUUGUUAGGGAAGAACAAGUACCGGAGUAACUGCCGGUACCUUGACGGUACCUAACCAGAAAGCCACGGCUAACUACGUGCCAGCAGCCGCGGUAAUACGUAGGUGGCAAGCGUUGUCCGGAAUUAUUGGGCGUAAAGCGCGCGCAGGCGGUUCUUUAAGUCUGAUGUGAAAGCCCACGGCUCAGCCGCUGUAGGGUCAUUGUAAACUGGGGAACUUGAGUGCAGAAGAGGAAAGUGGAAUUCCAAGUGUAGCGGUGAAAUGUGUAGAGAUUUGGAGGAACACCAGUGGCGAAGGCGACUUUCUGGUCUGUAACUGACGUCUGACGCGUGAAAGCGUGCGGACCAAACAGGAUUAGAUACCCUGGUAUUCCACGCCGUAAACGAUGAGUGCUAAGUGUUAGAGCGUUUCCGCCCAUUAGUGCUGCAGCAAACGCAUUAAGCACUCCGCCUGGGGAGUACGACCGCAAGGUUUAAACUCAAAGGAAUUGACGGGGGCCCGCACAAGUGGUGGAGCAUGUGGUUUAAUUCGAAGCAACGCGAAGAUCCUUACCAGGUCUUGACAUCCUCUGACAAUCUUAGAGAUAGGAUUUUCCCCUUCGGGGGACAGAGUGACAGGUCGUGCAUGGUGGUUGUCAGCUGGUGUUCUGUGACGUUGGGUUAAGUCCCGCAWC
rnacentral:rRNA from 1 species